GACCUCUUGGCUCAGUGGUAGAGCAUCUGAUUCCAGUCUAUGGUUGCGUAAGCCAUCAUUUGACUCCAGAAGGUCGUCCGUUCGAUCCGGGCAGAGGUCA